CAGCCCGCGCCCUGUAAAACGGGACGGCCCGCCCGAGGACCCUAAACUCUGUUUUUAGUGGAACUUCUGAGUAAAACAAACAAAUAAAUCAAAACUUUCAACAACGGAUCUCUUGGUUCUGGCAUCGAUGAAGAACGCAGCAAAAUGCGAUAAGUAAUGUGAAUUGCAGAAUUCAGUGAAUCAUCGAAUCUUUGAACGCACAUUGCGCCCGCCAGUAUUCUGGCGGGCAUGCCUGUUCGAGCGUCAUUUCAACCCUCAAGCUCAGCUUGGUGUUGGGACUCGCGGUAACCCGCGUUCCCCAAAUCGAUUGGCGGUCACGUCGAGCUUCCAUAGCGUAGUAAUCAUACACCUCGUUACUGGUAAUCGUCGCGGCCACGCCGUUAAACCCCAACUUCUGAAUGUUGACCUCGGAUCAGGUAGGAAUACCCGCUGAACUUAAGCAUAUCAAUAAGCCGGAGGA
rnacentral:rRNA from 1 species